rnacentral:rRNA from 1 species
UAAGACAGAGGGUGCAAACGUUGCUCGGAAUUACUGGGCGUAAAGCGCGUGUAGGCGGGUUGGUAAGCCAGAUGUGAAAUCCCUAUGCUCAACGUAGGAACUGCAUUUGGAACUGCCAGUCUUGAGUAGUGGAGAGGAAAGUGGAAUUCCUGGUGUAGAGGUGAAAUUCGUAGAUAUCAGGAGGAACAUCGGUGGCGAAGGCGGCUUUCUGGACACUAACUGACGCUGAGACGCGAAAGCGUGGGGAGCAAACAGGAUUAGAUACCCUGGUAGUCCACGCCGUAAACGAUGAGUGCUAGAUGUGGCGGGAAUUGACCCCUGCCGUAUCGUAGCUAACGCGUUAAGCACUCCGCCUGGGGAGUACGGCCGCAAGGCUA